rnacentral:rRNA from 1 species
UGACCGGGGCCCAAGUAGCAUAAUCAUUUGUCUUUUAAUUAAAGGCUUGUAUGAAUGGUUGGAUGAGAUAUAAUCUAUUUUUAUUUAAUUAAAAAUGAAUUUUAAUUUUUAGUAAAAAUGCUAAAAUAAAAAAUAUAGACGAGAAGACCCUAUAAAUCUUUAUUAUUUUUUUAUUAAUUUAUUAAUAGAAUAUAAAAUUUAUUAAUAAAAAAAUAAUUUUAUUGGGGUGAUAAUGAAAUUUAAUAAACUUUUGUUUUAUUUUAUAAAUAUAAUUAAUUUAAUGAUCCAUUUUUAAUGAUUAUAAAAUUAAGUUACUUUAGGGAUAACAGCGUAAUUAUUUUAAAGAGUUCAUAUCGAUAAAAUAGUUUGCGACCUCGAUGUUGAAUUAAGAGUAAGUUUAGGUGUAGAAGUUAAU